GAUGAACGCUGGCGGCGUGCCUAAUACAUGCAAGUAGAACGCUGAAGGAGGAGCUUGCUCUUUCCGGAUGAGUUGCGAACGGGUGAGUAACGCGUAGGUAACCUGCCUGGUAGCGGGGGAUAACUAUUGGAAACGAUAGCUAAUACCGCAUAACAGUAGAUAUUGCAUGAUAUUUGCUUGGAAGGGGCAAUUGCUCCACUACCAGAUGGACCUGCGUUGUAUUAGCUAGUUGGUGAGGUAACGGCUCACCAAGGCGACGAUACAUAGCCGACCUGAGAGGGUGAUCGGCCACACUGGGACUGAGACACGGCCCAGACUCCUACGGGAGGCAGCAGUAGGGAAUCUUCGGCAAUGGACGGAAGUCUGACCGAGCAACGCCGCGUGAGUGAAGAAGGUUUUCGGAUCGUAAAGCUCUGUUGUAAGAGAAGAACGAGUGUGAGAGUGGAAAGUUCACACUGUGACGGUAUCUUACCAGAAAGGGACGGCUAACUACGUG
rnacentral:rRNA from 1 species